rnacentral:rRNA from 1 species
GACGUAGGGGGCCAGCGUUGUUCGGAAUUACUGGGUGUAAAGGGUUCGUAGGCGGUGUGGCAAGUCGGGAGUGAAUCUCUGGGCUCAACCCAGAGACUGCUUCCGAAACUGCUGUGCUUGAGUGUGAGAGAGGCUCGUGGAAUUGCAGGUGUAGCGGUGAAAUGCGUAGAUAUCUGCAGGAACACCCGUGGCGAAAGCGGCGAGCUGGAUCACUACUGACGCUGAGGAACGAAAGCUAGGGGAGCAAACAGG